UACGAAGGGGGCUAGCGUUGCUCGGAAUUACUGGGCGUAAAGAGUGUGUAGGCGGUUUUCUAAGUCUGUUGUGAAAUCUCCCGGCUUAACCGGGAGGGUGCGGCGGAAACUGGAAUGCUAGAGGAUGGGAGAGGUAAGCGGAAUUCCUGGUGUAGCGGUGAAAUGCGUAGAUAUCAGGAGGAACACCGAUGGCGAAGGCAGUUCUCUGGGCCGUAACUGACGCUGAGGAGCGAAAGCGUGGGGAGCGAACAGG
rnacentral:rRNA from 1 species